GGCUGGUCCGAGUGCAGUGGUGUUUACAGCUAAUUGUUCACAACCAGUUACAGGUUCCUUUGUUCCUUCUUCCCUCCCACUGCUUCACUUGACUAGCCUUUU
rnacentral:Y_RNA from 1 species